AAUUCCCGUUGAUCCUGCGGGAGGUUGCUGCUAUCGGGAUUCGAUUUAGCCAUGCAAGUUUGCUCUCUUUUGAGGGCGGCAGACUGCUCAGUAACACGUCGAUAACUUAACCUUGGGUCUGGGAUAGCCUCGGGAAACUGAGGGUAAACCCGGAUAGGGGAAUGGUACUGGGAUGUCCAUUCCUUUAAAAGCAAUGCCUAAGGAUAGGUCGGCGGUGGAUUAGGUUGUUGGUGAGGUAACGGCCCACCAAGCCGAAGAUCCAUAGGGGCCUUGAGAGAGGUAGCCUCGAGAAGGGCACUGAGAUACUGGCCCUAGCCCUACGGGGUGCAGCAGGCGCGAAACCUUUACAAUGCACGCAAGUGUGAUAAGGGAAUCCUGAGUGCUUAGCUUUUGCUAGGCUUUUUUCAAGGGUAAAUACCUUGAAGAAUAAGUGGUGGGCAAGACUGGUGCCAGCCGCCGCGGUAACACCAGCGCCACAAGUGGGAACCGGUUUUAUUUGGCCUAAAGCGUCCGUAGCCGGUCUGGUAAAUCUUUUGUGAAAUCGUUGGGCUCAACUUAACGGCGUGCAGAAGAGACUGUCAGACUAGGGACCAGGAGGAGUCAGAAGUAUUUCUGGGGUAGCGGUAAAAUGCAAUAAUCCCAGAAAGACUACCUGUGGCGAAGGCGUCUGACUAGAAUGGAUCCGACGGUGAGGGACGAAAGCCAGGGGAGCGAUCCGGAUUAGAUAUUGCGGCUUCUGUUGGAUAUUUGAUCGCGAUAAUAUCUACUAAACAUCAGGAGCUGAUGCAACUAAAUACCCGAGUAGUCCUGGCUGUAAACUCUGCGAGCAAGGUGUUGCAUAUUCUUCGUGAAUAUGCAGUGUCGAAACGAAGGUGUCAAGCUCGCCGCCUGGGAAGUAUGGUCGCAAGACUGAAAUUAUCUUGACUGGGAGUUUUGAAGCUCCUGAUCGGUAAUCAGUAGACUUAAAGGAAUUGGCGGGGGAGCACUACAAGGGGUGCGGCGUGCGGUUUAAUCUAACUCAACACAGAGAAUCUCACCAGAAGCGACGGCAGGAUGAAAGUCAGAUUGAAGGUUUUACUUGACGAGCCGAGAGGUAGUGCAUGGCCGUCGUCAGCUCGUGCCGUGAGGUGUCCUGUUAAGUCAGGCAACGAGCGAGACCUGUGCUUACAAUUGCUAACGAUUGAUUUAUCAAGAUCGAGCACAUUGUAGGGACUGCCUGUGAAAACAGGAGGAAGGUGCAGGCUACGGUAGGUCUGUAUGCUCCGAAUCUUCUGGGCUACACGCGCGCAACAAUGGUAGGGACAAUGGGAUACGACUCCGAAAGGAGAAGUUAAACCUCUAAACCCUAUCUUAGUCCAGAUUGAGGAUUGUAACUCAUCCUCAUGACGCUGGAAUCCCUAGUAAUCGGAUUUCAUCAUAGUCCGGUGAAUAUGUCCCUGCUCCUUGCACACACCGCCCGUCAAACCACUCGAGCAGGGUUUAGGUGAGGCUUGGUUUUUUUGAUCAAUCCGAACCUGAGCUCAGUGAGAUGGGUUAAGUCGUCACAAGGUAGCCGUAGGGGAACCUGCGGCUGGAUCACCUCCUU
rnacentral:rRNA from 1 species